rnacentral:rRNA from 1 species
CGUAGGGAGCAAGCGUUGUUCGGAUUUACUGGGCGUAAAGGGCGCGUAGGCGGCAAAUCAAGUCAGCUGUGAAAUCUCCGAGCUUAACUCGGAACGGUCAGCUGAUACUGCUUUGCUAGAGUGCGGAAGGGGCAAUCGGAAUUCUUGGUGUAGCGGUGAAAUGCGUAGAUAUCAAGAGGAACACCUGAGGUGAAGACGGGUUGCUGGGCCGACACUGACGCUGAGGCGCGAAAGCCAGGGGAGCAAACGGGAUUAGAUACCCCGGUAGUCCUGGCCUUAAACGAUGAAUACUUGGUGUCUGGAGUCUCUAUAGCUCCGGGUGCCGUCGCUAACGUUUUUGAUUCCGCCUGGGGAUACGCACGCAAGUGUG